rnacentral:rRNA from 1 species
UACGUAGGGGGCAAGCGUUGUCCGGAUUUAUUGGGCGUAAAGAGCGUGUAGGCGGCCAGACAGGUCUGCUGUGAAAACUCGAGGCUCAACCUCGAGACGCCGGUGGAAACCGUCUGGCUAGAGUCCGGAAGAGGAGAGUGGAAUUCCUGGUGUAGCGGUGAAAUGCGCAGAUAUCAGGAGGAACACCCGUAGCGAAGGCGGCACUCUGGGCCGGAACUGACGCUGAGGAGCGAAAGCGUGGGGAGCAAACAGG